UGUGUUCUGGCGUACAAAUGGUGUCUGAAAAACAUAAAAUGUUUUAAUCUUUCGUUGCACAAAAUAAAAAUAUAAAUGCUAAAAAAACAAAAUUUUGAUCGAUAAAAAAAUCAUGAUAAAUCAAAAACUACAUGCGCAUGCUAAUUUAAGUUUAUUUGAAACAAAAAUAUCAAUCCAUUUCAAUAAGUCACUUAUUAAAUAAGAAUCAUAAAUACAUAGCAACAUCGUUAAUGAGUAAAGCCGCAUAAACUGCCUAAUGCAAUUUCACCUCAAUCUUACUAAGUGCAUAAUUGACAAAAGUUUAAAACAAGCAUAUUCAGUCCAAUUAUACUUUGCUGGCAUUCUAGAAAAAAAAAACAAAAUUACACAAUACCAAGAUAAUGAUUUAUUAUUGAAUAUGUUUCGGUACUUUUGCGAAUUUAAUUGUAUGUUUAUAAUGUAAUGUGCAGUGAUUAGUGUUAGCACACGCAAUUUCUAUAAAUGUAAACCCUUGAGAGUAGUAUGUUUAAGUCAAAACGUAUUUUAAUUUACAUAUAAAUUUGCUAAAGUGAACUUUAAUCUAAUGUGACAAUUACUAAAAAUUUUAAUUGGUAUUUGACCCAAUAAACGUAUCACGUUAAUAAGACAACGCGACGUGAAUCACAGGAUAUGAUAUCACACGCUACUUCACCUCAGCGGCAAAACGACGCGCCUUUCGGAAUCCAGAGCAAUCCAUCAAGCGACAAUGCGUGGGCCGCACAUAAGACGGACUUCUGUCCGUGACAUCAGUUGCCUGAGUUUUAAAAUAUAAACAUUUUUGUC